UACGUAGGGUGCGAGCGUUGUCCGGAAUUAUUGGGCGUAAAGGGCUCGUAGGCGGUUUGUCACGUCGGGAGUGAAAACUCAGGGCUUAACCCUGAGCCUGCUUCCGAUACGGGCAGACUAGAGGUAUGCAGGGGAGAAUGGAAUUCCUGGUGUAGCGGUGAAAUGCGCAGAUAUCAGGAGGAACACCAAUGGCGAAGGCAGCUCGCUGGGACGGUACUGACGCUGAGACGCGAAAGCGUGGGGAGCAAGCAGG
rnacentral:rRNA from 1 species